GGCACACACACCGUCCCUUCACAAAAAGAUAGACAGGAUUUCAUGUAGACAUGUGACCAGUUAUAUAAGCACCCAAAGCUUUAUAACUCUGCAAGUGUCUGAAGAGCAGUGGCAGAUCCGUCUGGUGUGUGUGAGUGUGUGUGGACGGGACCUUAUUGCUUCUCUGGCAGCUGAGAUGUUCUUCCGCAUUCCUCUCCUGACACCUGGAUACAUUCGAUACCUGCAGACUCAGGCGGCACGAACCAAUCUGCAGAGGGAGGGGCCCGUUGUACCCCGCUUUGCCAUGCUGCUAGGCCUUGUGGGUAUUGGGAUGUCAGGAUACAGCUCUCGCCAGCUGACCUUAUACCACAAGCCAUCGCCACAUCUCCUGCGGUGAAACACAAUGAAGGGAACAGACAGAAAACGCAUCGCUUUUGUUUGGAGGUGUGUUCUUUCUUAAACAGACUGAACAACCCAAAUAUCAUCAUUAUAGUUUUACCAAAUCAUGCUGAAGCUCAUAGUCUUGCUUUGGGUGCGAGGAUGGCCGAUCCUCAACCAAGCUCUCCCAAACUUGUUCUCUGGCAACAAUGGAGUGAAUUACAUUCUUUUACUUUUUAAUUAGUAGUGAGCAUCCUUCUGAAUCAUAAAAUGACAAAGGGGAUAUUAUUUGGCCUUGUGGACCUCAAGGGUGUCUCAAAGGCUACUUCAAUUCACCAUUUGGGACAGGGGUCCACUUAGCACUGGAUUAUAUUUUUGAUAUAAUCCCAAUUUGCAAUCCUGAAAAGAACUGUUUGUCUACCUAAAGUUCCUAUAGACCACCACAGGCUCCACAGUAAAUGUAAGCCAGCCAAAAUCCAGCAGCCAACAAGACUAGCACUGCUGUCACAGCGCAAACAUUAUGCAGAAGUAUGACUUCAGUGUUUAUUGAUUUCUUAAAGUAAUUUUAAAAGACAUAUUCCUCUAUUGAAGAGAGCAAUUUCAGCAGGUCACCUUGAGUCACUAUUUACAGGACAGGGCGUCAUCCUUAAAAUACACUGAACAUUUGAUAUCCCAUUUGUCUAAAGCAAACAAUUUCUCUCUGGCUGUCAGGAAGUAAUAUAUAUAUAUAUAUAUAUAUAUAUAUACACUUACAUAAUUUAUUAUAUAUUGUCAUACUUGAAUUUUUAAGUUCAAAUGUACAGUACAUAUAAUGUACAUGUAAAUAAGUUUAUUAAAUGCAUAUAUUUAUAUUUGAAGUGUAUUUUAUGUUAUAUAAACUGCAAAGUAUAUAUGUGACCCCUGGAGCGCAAAACCAGACUUAAGUAGCACAGGUAUAUUUGUAGCAAUAGUCAAAAAUACAUUGCAUGGGUCAAAAAUAGCAAUUUUUCUUUUAUGCCGAAAAUAAUUCGGAUAUUAAGUAAAGAUCAUGUUCCAUCAAUAUAUUUUGUAAAUAUACCUCCCAUAAAAAUAUCAAAACUUCAUUUUUGAUUAGUAAUAUGCAUUGCUAAGAACUUCAUUUGGAAAACUUUAAAGGCAAUUUUCUGUUUUGUUUUGUUUUUUUUCCACCCUCAGAUUCCAGAUUUUCAAAUAGUUGUAUCUCGUCCAAAUAUUGUCCUAUCCUAACAAACCAUACAUCAAU
ensembl:lncRNA